UUUUUAUGCUUCUGAUAUUUAUUGUUUUACGAUUCUGAGCUAAACAAUCAAACAGGGAAACCCCAUCUCUUUAAUUACUUAUUUGUAAUAUUGCAGUCUGUUGUUGUAUGUGUAGGAUUUUCCAGUUGAAAACCUUUCAGGUUUUUGAAAAUUAGUUUUGUUGUGGUUUAUUUUUUCUGAAAAUUGAGGAUUUAGUGUUGAGAACUAGAAAAUUAAGAUUCCAUUGCAUUAUAAAUUAAGUUGGAAUUGGACUGAAUGAUUUUGUAAGUGCAAAAGUUGGCGAUUCCAUGAGUUGGAGUUAUAAGACAAGGUUGCUGAAAAAUUUUCAGCAGUCACUGGAAAAUGGAAACUGAGAUGUAGGAUGGUUUGGAGAGGCUAAAUUAGUGAGUGAAAAGUAGGGAGGAUAUGUAGAAGUUUGGGAUUGUGUUGAUGUAGUGGAGGGAUGAGUUUACGGCUAGAUUACACGAAGAAAAAAUAGAGGUUUUUGGCUGUGAACAGUGCCUCAGGCUCUGUACCUGUAGGACGAAGUUUUGAGCCCACACACACACACAUCCCCAACAAUGUUCUCACAAAGUUACCUCAAAUUCUCAUAAAUUAACCACUCAAAAAGGCAAAGAAAAUAACAAGGUUACAUAAGCAAGCAUAGAGACUAAAAGAUUUUAAAUUAUAUAUAACUAAUAAACUCUAAAUCCCUAAAUAAAAAUAUUUCAUAUUAAGUAACAUAUUUACUAUAUAGAAAGGAAAUCCCUGACUACCAAGGACACUUUCCCCUUGGCCAAUAUGUCCCUUUUCUUGUUUUAGAUUUAUGGCUUUCAUAUUACGUUCCAAAUUGGGUAUUUCCUUUGGCUUAAUAUAUGAAUUUGUUCUUGAAAUUACAUGAAACGCCUAUUGCCCCUUAUACUGUUUUUUGGACCUAUUAUUCACCUCACCUUUGAUUCUUGUAAGCAAUGAACUCCUAAUUUUUCUCAUUUGGUUAUUUAGGCUGGAGAUUUUGCUUACAGAUUUCUUAUGGCAAUGAUAAUGUUUUGGUUUCAUUUAUUGCUCCCUUAAUUUGUACUAAAUUUUGGGGAGAGAGAGAGAGAGAUAUGUAAAGUUCCUGCAAUGCCAAAUUAAAAAUGCUUUACCUAUCAUACUUUAUUGUAACGUUAGCAUGCUGAUGUAUAGCACCAAUUUAUGACUGCUUAAGGAUUUAUUGUUUACAAAACUAGAAGGUUGGGGGCAUAAUAGUUUCUGGUAAAGGAAAUGAGGGUCAGGUGAUAAAGUAUAGAGGCAAAUUUGUGUAUUAAUCAUAUUUCCUUUCAUAUUAAUUAUCUCCCUCCAAAAAGGAAACCAGGUUUGUCGAGUUAAAUGUUCUAGAUGCUUGUUCAAGAAUGCCAUCUCCAUGCUCAAUGUGCUUUGCCAAGAAAAGAGGCAGCUUUCCUUUCAAGUUUAAUAGGUUAAGAGUCUUUAGCAGAAACAUAUUUUAUUGCAAGGUCACUAUGCUUGAAAGAAUAUAUAUUAUUGCAGCCACUAUGUUGAACCUUCUUUUCAUUUGAUCACAGGGCAGUGCACCAUCUAUUUUUCUCGUAGAAUUUGUUGAUCAUAAUGAUAAAUCAAGUUUCAUAGCCCCUUAUAUUUGAUGGAAAAUUUCCAGUUGCAGAAUUAUUCUUUCCUUAAAACAUCUUCUUUUACCCAGGAUUUGGAUGCGACACUUCUGCAGUGAUUAAUAUAUUGGCUCAUCGAGAUUCAACACAACGAAUGCUCAUUCAACAGGAGUACAAGACUAUGUACUCUGGGGACCUUCUUAAGCGUUUGUCUUCAGAGCUUAGUGGCAAAUUGGAGACAGCAGUUCUGCUUUGGAUGCAUGAUCCACCUGGGCGUGAUGCAAUAAUCGUGAAGCAGGGAUUAAGUUCGGACACAUUAAAUCUUGAAGCUGCCACUGAAGUAAUUUGUUCGCGCACCCCAUCUCAGAUACAGACAUUUAAACAACAUUACCAUGCAAAAUUUGGGGUGCACCUUGAGCAUGAUAUUGAAUCACAUGCCUCUGGGGAUCAUAAACAGGUAAAUUCUUUCUCUAUUUUCAUAUUAGCCAGUUUUGCCUCCAAAGCUUUUGAGCUUAGCCUUUUUAGUUGCUCUGUUUUGGGUAACAUUUUAAUUCGCCAUAUUUAGCUUGUAUUUUCAAAUGAUAGUUUUGUUUUCUUUUGUUGCUCUAAAGCAAUGGUUUGUAAUACAUAUCUUAUGGUAAACUUUUGGGAAUUAAUCAUAUAUUCUGUUGUCCCAAUUUGACCUUCUAGUUCUUUAUUUGAUAUUGGUAUAACUUUAUAAUUGUAAUAACAGCUGUUUGACUUAGGGUUAUUUGCUAGUACCAGCUUCAUUUUGCUUGUGAAUGCUUUUUUUUGCUUCCUAUUCCGUGUUUGGUAUGAUGUUUCAUCUAUGAAAAGUGUUUGUUGCAAUGGUUAUCGGAGACAAAAUAAUUAAUUUGGAAUUUCAGUAACUUUUAUUUAUAGCAGAAGGCAAGAUAUGAAAUGUCCAUUGGUUGCACCAUGGAAAGAAUAAUUGGACAGGCAAUCUACUCUAUAUUUUCUAUUUUUGUGAUUGAGGAUAUUCAUUCCUCGAAGUGCAGAUCUUCUUAGUGAUGUUAUACUAAUCCUUGUAAGAUAAUGCCUUUUAUCUCAUGUUCUUAUGAAACUGAUUUUCCUAUUUUAAAUUUACUCUUUCUCUAGCCGUCUAAUUUUUUUGCAUGUUUCUUUUUUGUUUGCUCUUGUUCAUGGAAAGACAUUGAAUUUUGCUGUAUAUUUUUGUAAAAAUACUUGAUUCAGCUCUUGCUUGCAUAUGUGAGUGUACCUCGCUAUGAAGGCCGGGAAUUUGAUAAUCAGAUGGCUCAGAAUGAUGCAAAGGCUCUUUAUAAAGCAGGAGAGAAGAAAUUGGGAACUGAUGAAAAGACUUUCAUCCGCAUAUUUAGUGAACGAAGUGCUGCACAUUUGGCUGCUGUAAAUUCUGCUUAUCAUAACAUGUAUGGAAACUCUCUGAAAA
rnacentral:misc_RNA from 1 species